rnacentral:rRNA from 1 species
ACGAACUGCGCGAACGUUAUUCGGAAUCACUGGGCUUAAAGAGUGCGUAGGCGGCCGGGUAAGUUAAAUGUGAAAGCCCACGGCUCAACCGUGGAAUUGCGUUUAAUACUGCUUGGCUUGAGGAAGACAGAGGUGAGCGGAACUGAUGGUGGAGCGGUGAAAUGCGUUGAUAUCAUCAGGAACACCGGUGGCGAAGGCGGCUCACUGGGUCUUUUCUGACGCUGAGGCACGAAAGCUAGGGGAGCGAACGGG